UGGGGAAUUUUGGACAAUGGGCGAAAGCCUGAUCCAGCAAUGCCGCGUGUGUGAAGAAGGCCUUCGGGUUGUAAAGCACUUUUGUCCGGAAAGAAAUCCUUGGCUCUAAUACAGUCGGGGGAUGACGGUACCAGAAGAAUAAGCACCGGCUAACUACGUGCCAGCAGCCGCGGUAAUACGUAGGGUGCAAGCGUUAAUCGGAAUUACUGGGCGUAAAGCGUGCGCAGGCGGUUUGCUAAGACCGAUGUGAAAUCCCCGGGCUCAACCUGGGAACUGCAUUGGUGACUGGCAGGCUAGAGUAUGGCAGAGGGGGGUAGAAUUCCACGUGUAGCAGUGAAAUGCGUAGAGAUGUGGAGGAAUACCGAUGGCGAAGGCAGCCCCCUGGGCCAAUACUGACGCUCAUGCACGAAAGCGUGGGGAGCAAAACAGGAUUAGAUACCCUGGUAGUCCACGCCCUAAAAGCGAUGUCAAACUAGUUGUUGGGGAUUCAUUUCCUUAGUAACGUAGCUAACGCGUGAAGUUGACCGCCUGGGGAGUACGGUCGCAAGAUUAAAAGCUC
rnacentral:rRNA from 1 species